ensembl:lncRNA
GGUCUAUAGGGAUGAGGUGAUGAUAGAGGUGUAAUGCUGAUGUAGGUCUAUAGGGAUGAGGUGAUGAUAGAGGUGUAAUGCUGAUGUGGGUCUAUAGGGAUGAGGUGAUGAUAGAGGUGUAAUGCUGAUGUAGGUCUAUAGGGAUGAGGUGAGGAUAUAGGUGUAAUUCUGAUGUACUGUAGGUCUAUAGGGAUGAGGUGAUGAUAGAGGUGUAAUUCUGAUGUACUGUAGGUCUAUAGGGAUGAGGUGAUGAUAGAGGUGUAAUUCUGAUGUACUGUAGGUCUAUAGGGAUGAGGUUAUGAUAGAGGUGUAAUGCAGAUGUAGGUCUAUAUGGAUGAGGGGAGGAUAGAGGUUAAAUUCUGAUGUACUGUAGGUCUAUAGGGAUGAGGUGAUGAUAGAGGUGUAAUGCUGAUGUAGGUCUAUAGGGAUGAGGUGAUGAUAGAGGUGUAAUGCUGAUGUAGGUCUAUAGGGAUGAUUGGAGGAUAGAGGUGUAAUUUGGGUGUACUGUAGGUCUAUAGGGAUGAGGUGAUGAUAGAGGUGUAAUGCUGAUGUAGGUCUAUAGCAUGGGUGUCA